rnacentral:rRNA from 1 species
CGCUCUCUUUGGCCAGCCUUCUGAAAGGAAGAUUAAUCCAGGAUGGCAUCAUGAGUUCACAUGUCCGCAUGAUUAAAGGUAUUUUCCGGUAGACGAUGGGGAUGCGUUCCAUUAGAUAGUAGGCGGGGUAACGGCCCACCUAGUCAACGAUGGAUAGGGGUUCUGAGAGGGAGGUCCCCCACAUUGGAACUGAGACACGGUCCAA